GAAUAUACGAGAAGCGGCAAGCAUGUCUUUUUUGUGGCAGUAUGGUUUCCAAGGCAGCCAGGCACAUGAAAGAUGUGCACGCUGUGCGUCUGAAAAUACGUAAGCCAUGGACAGGAGAAGAGAAACAGGCGAUCUACCAGCACCUCAGGGGACACAUACGGAAAAAUCAACUGCCAGCCAGGCACAUGAAAGAUAUGCACGCUGAUGAGUCUGAGGUAAAACAUGCCAAGGCCAAGGAGCCCAAGUCAACUAACAGGCGACCUACUGUUGAAUUUGAGAGGCUCCGUUUGAAAGGGAAUUUCUACCAUAAUAUGGAGGUGCUGUCAACUGGUGUGGGUCAGAUCAUCGUUGCCAGAAAUCCUCCCUUCGGUCAAGAGGUCCAAUCUUCAGAUAACCUGCCAUGCCCAUUUUGCAUGUUCCGUCGGCAAUGGUCCAUCAUCAGAUAUCCAUGGUGGUAAGGGGUGACAAGUUAAUACUGGCCUUCGGUAGGAAUCUGAUGGCAAAGGUUUGACCUGGGAAAGCUCAGUACGUAUUAAUUGUAUUGGACAGUUUGAAACAUGGGAAUGUUUCUUUUUUGGGGGAGUAGCUGAAUUAAACCUAAAUGUUACAGGCAUUUUUAGUUUAAUUUGGCAAUAUUCAUGUGUAUGUUAUCCUAUUGUAUUGAAGGGGAUAAGAGUUUCUUUGGGUUUACCAGAAUUUGGAACUAUCCUCUAGUUAACGGAUGUAUUGCUUAUUGUAUCAUAUUUGUUUAGUCAUUCAACUAAGUCAUUCUUUUUCUGGUGCCAUUUGAUUUGUUUCUGGUGCCAUUUGAUUUGUAUACAGACUCGACCUGGUACAGAUAAGGGGAAAGAGAGGUCGCGCAGUGCCUGUGCUUCUGACCAGUGGAAGUCUUGAUGGAAAACCGUGAAGCAGUUGGGGCGCAUAAUGCGAAUCCCUAUAUAUUUGCUCGCCCCCGAAACUCCUUGAAACAAGUGAGAGGAUGGGAUUGCCUAACUGCUGUUGCCAAGCAGGCUAAUCUGCAAGAGCCUCCUGCAGAAACGAGCACAAAGCUGAGAAAGUAUGUUGCAACGGUGUCUCAGAUUAUAGACCUAAACAGCAAUGCGCUCGACUGGCUAGCAAGGCACCUGUGCCACGACAUAACUGUCCACAGGGACUUCUACCGCCAACACGAGUCGACACUAGAGCUUGCGAAAGUCAGCAAGCUACUUCUUGCUGUAGACAAAGGCAAGAUAGCAAAACUGUCUGGCCGAAAACUUGAUGAUAUUGAUUUGGAAGGUGUUUUGGCUGAUGAAUCAUCAAGUGAAGAGGAGGAUGCAGACCCGUCAUCAGGUGGCAGGAAGCUGGGCGCCCAGCAGAUCCUUGUGCUUAUUCAAAUAGCCCCUUCAUGAAUGUGACGUUACCGCAAGACAGGUGCAGUGCGCAAAUUCCUUGCGCGCUUUGUCACGUAACUCUUUGUGACGCCAUUUCUUAUAAACGCCAAGUUGCCUAUUCAACUUCAUUCUCGGUUGAGCAACCUUAUCUCGCUGACAUGCGCAUUUUGUUCUCCGUGCAAUAUGAAUCCUAACCUGAUAAUGCAAAUCAAGAGAUACUAUCGGCCAUCAGAUCGUUGGCUAACUCGAUAGACAGUAAAGUAGAUUCAGCCUUUAAGAGGCAGCGUACCCUUGCCCGACAGUCCACCAGACUUUAAAAGCGACGGUAACAAGGACCAGUUUCGCCACGAAGAAAAGCUCUCCAGCCUAAUUGACUCGGCCUUAGCAUCGUUAGACGCCGGAGACGUCAACGCAGCCAGAGAGGCCCUCAAGCAAGCCAGCAUUGAAAUCAAACAGCGGCAGAAGCUGAUCAGGUUGGCCGAUCGUUCUUCCCAAGGUUGGGCCACGGUUAAAGAAUACGUCACCGACAAUUAAGCCGACGACUCGGACGAUGAGAAACGACUCAGAAAGGCGGAGAAAAUGGCGACCAGCAAGAAAUCAGAAGCCGCUAAGAAGUCCAAGGCCAAGGCUCGCAAUCCUGUACGUCCUUACCCUGCUGCGAGUUCUUUUCGUACCUACAGCCGGUACACAUAUCGUCAAGAUUUCCGGUCCUGUUUCCAGUGCGGAAUCGCAGGACAUAUCCGAUCCAACUGCCCCUCUCUUCGGGCCCUCCAACAGCCUCAGUGCCGGUCACAACCUUCAGCCACUGAUACCACCACAGCAUAGGGACUGGGAAGAGCAGGACUCAACUACUCCUGUCCCAUCCGGUGUAAAGGAUGUUUGCAAAGACCCGUCAUCAGGUGGCAGGAAGCUGGGCGCCCAGCAGUGCGUCUGAAAAUACGUAAGCC